rnacentral:rRNA from 1 species
ACUCCUACGGGAGGCAGCAGUGGGGAAUUUUGGACAAUGGGGGCAACCCUGAUCCAGCAAUGCCGCGUGAGUGAAGAAGGCCUUCGGGUUGUAAAGCUCUUUUGUCAGGGAAGAAACGGUAGUAGCGAAUAACUAUUACUAAUGACGGUACCUGAAGAAUAAGCACCGGCUAACUACGUGCCAGCAGCCGCGGUAAUACGUAGGGUGCAAGCGUUAAUCGGAAUUACUGGGCGUAAAGCGUGCGCAGGCGGUUGUGUAAGUCAGAUGUGAAAUCCCCGGGCUCAACCUGGGAAUUGCAUUUGAGACUGCACGGCUAGAGUGUGUCAGAGGGGGGUAGAAUUCCACGUGUAGCAGUGAAAUGCGUAGAUAUGUGGAGGAAUACCGAUGGCGAAGGCAGCCCCCUGGGAUAACACUGACGCUCAUGCACGAAAGCGUGUGGAGCAAACAGGAUUAGAUACCCCAGUAGUCCCAU